AACGGCAGCGCGGGGCAACCUGGCGGCGAGUGGCGAACGGGUGAGUAAUAUAUCGGAACGUACCCUGGAGUGGGGGAUAACGUAGCGAAAGUUACGCUAAUACCGCAUACGAUCUAAGGAUGAAAGUGGGGGAUCGCAAGACCUCAUGCUCCUGGAGCGGCCGAUAUCUGAUUAGCUAGUUGGUGGGGUAAAGGCCCACCAAGGCUUCGAUCAGUAGCUGGUCUGAGAGGACGACCAGCCACACUGGAACUGAGACACGGUCCAGACUCCUACGGGAGGCAGCAGUGGGGAAUUUUGGACAAUGGGCGCAAGCCUGAUCCAGCAAUGCCGCGUGAGUGAAGAAGGCCUUCGGGUUGUAAAGCUCUUUUGUCAGGGAAGAAACGGUGAGGGCUAAUAUCUCUUGCUAAUGACGGUACCUGAAGAAUAAGCACCGGCUAACUACG
rnacentral:rRNA from 1 species